UAUAAUAUAUAAACUAUCAUAAAACGAUAAUGCAACUAUAAGGCAACCAAAACAAAAAAUAAACAGACUUAUACAUAAUUGGUUGUACCUUAAUUCGAUUUUACUCUUCUUAUUUUAUUUUUCAAAAAAUAUAUUUAUAUUGAAAACCAGUAAUCAAUCAAAAUGUAACUGUAUAUAACGUAGAUGUAUUAUUCAUGAGUUUUUUUUAAAAAAUUUCACAUCAUACAUUGUUUUGAAUUUGGUGGGAGCUCCAGAUCUGUUUGUUACAGAUCUACAUUUCAUGAAUCUGGAUUUCGAUAUUAGGGGGAGUUGUUUUGAUCGAAUAAAACAGAAAACAAAUGUGUAAUUUCAGUUUCUUCACAGUUUUUCUGAUUUUUUUUUCGUCAUUUUCAGUUUAGAUCAUUGCAGGUCUUCUUUUCCAGUUGAUUUUGCCAGAAUUAAUAGUUGUAUUUUUCUCGUUUUAGUUUCAUUUUGGUUGUUUUGCGGUUUUGAAACGAGCGCGUAUUUUCAUCUUCAUGGUUCGCUCUGUACAUCUGAAGGCUUAGUGCAUGUGGUAUUUUUGUAAAUAUUUGUAUGUGGACUGUAUAAAUGUUUAAUGGGCCGGCCCAAAGUAUUUUUGUAAUUUUUUUUCUUUUUUUGUAUUUUUCU